rnacentral:rRNA from 1 species
AACGAACGCUAACACCUUAUAUGCCUUUAAGACAAAAGUCUGCAAGGGAAACAUUUAUGGCUCUAGGAUGAGACUGUACGGUAUCAGUUAGUUGGUGAGGUAAUGGCUCACCAAGACAAUGACGCCUAACUGGUUUGAGAGGAUGAUCAGUCACACUGGAACUGAGACACGGUCCAGACUCCUACGGGAGGCAGCAGUGGGGAAUAUUGCACAAUGGAGGAAACUCUGAUGCAGCAACGCCGCGUGGAGGAUGACACUUUUCGGAGCGUAAACUCCUUUUAUAUAGGAAGAUAAUGACGGUACUAUAUGAAUAAGCACCGGCUAACUCCGUGCCAGCAGCCGCGGUAAUACGGAGGGUGCAAGCGUUACUCGGAAUCACUGGGCGUAAAGAGCGUGUAGGCGGAUAAAUAAGUUGGAAGUGAAAUCCUAUGGCUCAACCAUAGAACUGCUUUCAAAACUGUUUAUCUAGAAUAUGGGAGAGGUAGAUGGAAUUUCUGGUGUAGGGGUAAAAUCCGUAGAGAUCAGA